CCCCUCUCCCAUUGGUACGUCGCUCCGCUCCAUCCGCGCUGGCCGCUAAUCUCGCCGAUCGCGAAUCUCGCCUUCCCCAUGCCGCGUCCCUCGCCCCGCCCACUUGCCCCUCCGAUCCGAUCGAAUACGUCGCCCACGCCUACUCCUCCUCCACCAUGGGCGAGCCGCUCCUCUCCCCGCGCCGCCUGGCCCGCCUCGCCUCGAGGUCGCCGUCCCCGCCGCGCCGCGCCACGACUGACGCCCGGGCUGCCUCGCCUCGGUGCUGCCGUCCCCACCGCGCUCGGAGCGCCGCCACGAUCGACUUGUGAAACUCUCUCCGUCGAUCCGCUUCGGUGAGUCCCACCACCCUCCGCUUGCCUGCACUUUGCUGUGUCCUCCGUCUUGCCUCCGCGAAUCCCCGUCUUCCUUGCCGUGCGGCAACUGCUCCCGUGGCUCCCGUGGUGAUGGUUAAUAGCAGCGGAGAGCUACUUUUGGCAACCUUCAUGAAUAGGGAGGCACAGGGAGCAGCCCCCACGAGCAACGGUGUGGCGGCAGUCGGAUCUACAGGAAUUGACACCUCCUCAUGUCACUCCGGCACAAGAUCCAAAUGCAGGUCGCUACCUUCUGCCUCCAUUCUGCAUUCUAUACAGCGAUCCCUCUCCAAUAUGCAUGGCCUUUCCUCCUUGCCUGCAUCUGCCUGGUCAGCAUUUAGUCAACUCUCUGUUGUUGUGCUUUUGCAUAUUUUGUGCUGGAUUUCAGUAUCCCUGGUAUGGGACUGCAAGCCCUGUAUUUCUUAGGUACUUGUAGAGAUUUCUCCUAAUUAAUUCAGUCUCAAAACUCAAUAAUAUAUGCAAACUUCUCUAAUAAAUUUUAUCACCAAUACUGUUCUUUUCAUUAUGCCACUUGUGGCAUUGAAACUUGAGUAUUUGCAUAUUGAUCAUAUUCGGUUGUUUCAACCACUGUUUUUCUUGUAUCGGCUAUUGCCAAAGGUUGUUCUUUCCCUCUUACAUUGAAAUCAGUAGAACCUCGUACCUGUGUGUAUUUUUCUUAGAAUUUAAUUGAUGUGGGUAGUACUGAUAGAUAUUAACUAUUUGCUGGAAAGAUUCUUGGCUUCAGCAAUUUUAUCUCACAUUCUAUUGAAGCACAAUCUUAACGGAAAGCUGCUGUGCAAAAGUAUCUGAUGUUGUCAAACAUAUAUGACCUCGCUGCACGGCAAGGUAAUUCUCUUGUGCUGGAGAACAGAUAGCCUUGAACUAUUUGGUAAUCAUUCCCAGUUUAGCAUGGCAGGUGGAAGUCUUUCGAUCUGAUAGUCUGUUUAAGCGAUAUAAACAUUAUUUUUUACAAUUUAUAAACUUAUUUUCUGUGACCAGUAUUGAUCAUUAGAGAGCCACAGCUCGUAGUUUCUUCACAUAUUAGUUCUGGUCAUACUACUGUGGCAACAAUCAUUCCCAUUGAAACUAAAGUUUUACGUUCAGGUCAGUUUAUGUGUGAAAAUUACUUUUAGCAUUUGAACUAUAUGAAUCGUUGUAUGCUAGGUUAACUAAUCAUUUUGAGAAUUUGAGUACCUGAUUCUAUAAGCUUGCAAUCAUGGUUUAAAGCACCUCGUGAACUCUACCUUUAAAUUGAUAUGUAUGGUUUUCUUUCUUUUCAGUAUUUUGUGAUCUUCUUUAUGCUGCAAGCUAAUCAUGAUCACAAAAUUUAUUGGUGUCGUCCGAGCUGAGAACAAGGAUCGAGAGUUCUAUAGUUUUAAUCAAAUCCUGGCAGAACUUAUAUGAUAUGCUUGGAUAGCGGACUGUGAUGAUUUUUUUUUUGUGGGAGUUUUGUUUGGCAGAGUUGUAGAGGUGCCUUUUGUCCUCUUUGACAGUUCAUCCCAUUUGUUUAUUAUAAAACUUCAAUCUUAUUUUUUUUUGGUUCAAGGGAGGAAGAGGCCAGGCAGUGCGGCAGGCAGGGAGAGCAAAAGGCAUGUAAUUACUCAGAUCUGGUGCUAUUGUUAGCGGAACUUGGAUUGAGUGCUUUGUUAGACGUGUGGGCAGGGCACGAUUUUCCUAUUGUUUGUUUAUCUUGCUGUGGGUGGUUCCUUACUAUCCUACUUAUAUUCAGCACCACAUCUCAAGGUAUUUGAGUGUUUCUUUUUUAUACUGAUUCUGCUUUUUGAAAAGUGGUUUCUUAGGACUCAAUAUUCCUUUUGAUUGAAACAAAACGUCAUCAUAAAUGACUUUAAGAGCAUUGAGGGGGAUAGAGCUCUGGGGCUUCAGUCACUUCCUGUUGCUUUUGGGAUGGAAUCUGCAAAAUGGAUAUGCGUUGGAGCAAUUGACAUCACUCAAUUAUCUGUUGCAGGUUAGGCACAUUCGAAUUGCCAUGUGGUUCAUGGCUCCAUGCUGCUGUUAAGCAUACCAUAAUAAUCUAUGCACUUGUCAUGAUAAUGCAUCAGAUUUUAAGUAUCCUGUAGAAUAAAGUUUUAACAUUAUAGCUUCUCUCUGAGUAUUUGAAUGAAGUGAGUGUUUCCACUUGUUGCCACAUUCUACCGGUACAAAUAGGAGGCACCACAAGAGAUAUGCUUGAUUUAUCAUCUAUGCUGAAUUUCUGUAGCUGGCCGUUCCAAAUGUUUUCUGAUCAUUGGACGACAACAUUGAAAGCUCCGGAUUAUUUGAAAAUCCUAACUGAUCGAUCUAUUUAGUAUUUUGUCAAAGCUCCGGAUUAUCAACUGGACCAUGUCUAUGUUAGAUUGGAAAUAUUUGUACUCUACAUGUGAAUAAUGUUGGAAGUAUAUAAUUUCUAUAUCCCAUAGCAAUGUAUGGACAUAGAUCUAUUAUGUCGAAGUUAGCUCGUGGAUAUCAAUGAGUCUUAAAAUAUCA